CCACUGCCAUGGCGACUCUGCUGCGCCCUGUCCUGCGCCGGCUCCGCGGGCUCCGCGGGCUUCCCGGCCUCCUGCGGAUUGCGGCAGAAAUGCCUCUCCGGGCCAGGAGCGACAGCGCCGGCGCCGGCCCGCUGUACUCGCACCACAUCCCCACCUCCCCGCUGCAGAAAGCGCUGCUGGCCGCCGGCUCCGCGGCAAUGGCGCUCUAUGACCCCUACUGCCACGACAUGGUCGCAGUUCUAGGGGAGACCACAGGACACCGCACCCUGAAGGUCCUCAGGGACCAGAUGAGGAGGGAUCCAAAGGGUGCCCAGAUCCUGCAGGAGCGUCCCCGGAUUUCGACGUCCACCCUCAGAGCCUGCCAGAAGGCUCCCUGGGUCGCGAGUAUCUCCGUUUCCUGGAUGUGAAUAGGGUCUCCCCAGACACCCGAGCACCCACCCGCUUCGUGGAUGAGGAGGAGCUAGCGUAUGUGAUUCAGCGAUACCGGGAGGUGCACGACAUGCUUCACACCCUGCUGGGGAUGCCCACCAACAUCCUGGGGGAGAUGGUGGUGAAACGGUUUGAGGCUGUCCAGACUGGCCUGCCCAUGUGCAUCCUGGGUGCUCUCUUUGGACCGAUCCAACUCAGUGCUCAGAGCCUGCAAGUGCUGGUCUCGGAGUUGAUCCCAUGGGCCGUUCAGAACGGGCACAUAGCCCCAUGUGUCUUCAACCUGUACUAUGAGCGGCACUGGGAGCAGUCCCUGAGGGCUCUACGGGAGGAGCUGGGCAUUACGGCACCACCCGUGCAUAUCCAGGGCUUGGCCUGAGUUCCUGAGCCAGCGGGGCCUGGCCUACCUCCCCCAUCUACUGCUUCCCUUGGGGGCAGAGGGCUCCCUUGACUACCUUUGUUCCUCUUCUUUGAACACUGACCCUUGGACAACAUUUAUCAUAAUUUGUUAUAGCCACUGCUGAGUGGCCUUGAGGACGAACCCCACAGGGAGCAAGCAGUACAGAGGCACUCCCAGGGGGACCAGCCGCUGUCCAAGGAGAACCAUGCGUGAACAGUAUCAGUCGUCUGGGCUCAUGCUGGGAUGUUGCAGCACUCCUGUUGCGACUCCUUCCAACCAGCCAGGUUUGCUGGGGGCCAGGCUGGGUGUCCUCACAGGAGUGAGUGCUACACCCAAUUCCAAAAGCCCGAGAAGAGAGAAGCAGAGGGGGAGGCGAGUGUGUGAAUAAAGGCUCCCAUCAGGUCAAAAAAAAAA